rnacentral:misc_RNA from 1 species
AAGUCGUAACAAGGUAUCCGUAGGUGAACCUGCGGAUGGAUCAUUAAAACACGUGUUUACACACGUUACCAACCAACCCGUGCGAGGAGCCUGGCUGACAUAAAAAGUCUCAACCGCAAGGUCGAGCUUCAUCGUGUACAGCUUGCUGGUAAAACAGCAAGUCGUCGGCUAGUGCUCCGUUCUUUUCUUCGUUGCACACGAUGUUUUCUUUACAAACCUUAAAACCCUUUCAUUCUUCUUACUGAAUGACUUAAAUCCUUUUCUUUCGAAAAGGACUUCUCUAUUAGAUCUUCGGAUCGAACGGAAGUCUCUGACUAGAUACGAAAACCCUGUACAACUCUUAGCAACGGAUAUCUUGGUUCUC